CGUAGGGUGCAAGCGUUAAUCGGAAUUACUGGGCGUAAAGCGUGCGCAGGCGGUUAUGUAAGACAGGUGUGAAAUCCCCGGGCUUAACCUGGGAACUGCAUUUGUGACUGCAUAGCUAGAGUACGGUAGAGGGGGAUGGAAUUCCGCGUGUAGCAGUGAAAUGCGUAGAUAUGCGGAGGAACACCGAUGGCGAAGGCAAUCCCCUGGACCUGUACUGACGCUCAUGCACGAAAGCGUGGGGAGCAAACAGGAUUAGAUACCCUGGUAGUCCACGCCCUAAACGAUGUCAACUGGUUGUUGGGUCUUCACUGACUCAGUAACGAAGCUAACGCGUGAAGUUGACCGCCUGGGGAGUACGACCGCAAGGUUG
rnacentral:rRNA from 1 species